rnacentral:lncRNA from 1 species
GUCACCCAUAAUAGUAAGAGCCCCUCACAUUAGAUUUUUUACAAAUCUCUGUGAAGUGGAUGUGGUAGAGGGAUAUUCUAUUCACAGAAACCUAACCUUCUCAGCCACACCAUGCCACAUGAAAAUGGACCCUGCAUUUCAAAAGGAAGUUUUCCAUUUCCCUUGUUGUAAAGAAACUUAAUUGCUCUGUAGUGAUGUCUUGUUAGCUCUAGUCCAAAGGGAAGCAUGCCCCCAUGGAGACAUUUAACAUCCUGUAAUUGAAAACCAUGGUUUAAGUCACCACAUGUUCUGCUAUUGCAUGGUGGGGAUGGGGUUCAACAGUGCAUGGUAUUGGGGCAAGAUGUUAACGUGGGGUUGAUACCUUAUCUGUCAUUGUGCUUUUGAUCAUUGUCAUCUAUCUGUUUUGACGAAACUGAAAACACGAGGCAUGCCUCAUUUCUCCUGUUCCCUGUUCCCCAGGAUGUCUUGUAAGAUAAAGAUAAAAAGCAAACUGUUUAGUAAAAUGGUAUGAAAAAAAAGUCAAAAUACACUACUUGUGUUCA